rnacentral:rRNA from 1 species
UACGGAGGGUGCAAGCGUUAUCCGGAUUCACUGGGUUUAAAGGGUGCGUAGGUGGGCAGGUAAGUCAGUGGUGAAAUCUCCGGGCUUAACCCGGAAACUGCCAUUGAUACUAUCAGUCUUGAAUACCGUGGAGGUAAGCGGAAUAUGUCAUGUAGCGGUGAAAUGCUUAGGUAUGACAUAGAACACCAAUUGCGAAGGCAGCUUACUACCCGAAUAUUGACACUGAGGCACGAAAGCGUGGGGAUCAAACAGG